rnacentral:rRNA from 1 species
UACGUAGGGGGCUAGCGUUGUCCGGAAUCAUUGGGCGUAAAGCGCGUGUGGGCGGUCCGGUAAGUCCGCUGUGAAAGUCGGGGGCUCAACCCUCGGAUGCCGGUGGAUACUGUCGGGCUUGAGUACGGAAGGGGCGAGUGGAAUUCCUGGUGUAGCGGUGAAAUGCGCAGAUAUCAGGAGGAACACCAAUUGCGAAGGCAGCUCGCUGGGACGUUAUUGACGCUAAGGCGCGAAAGCGUGGGGAGCAAACAGG